UAGUGGAUGUCAUACUUCCAAGAAAAGCUUGCACUGUCAUAAAUAGAAAACGCCUGUACCAUAACCGACACAGGUGGGUAGGUAGAGUAUACUAAGGGGCGCGAGAUAACUCUCUCUAAGGAACUCGGCAAAAUAACUCCGUAACUUCGGGAGAAGGAGUGCCUUAUUCGUAAGGCUGCAAUAACAAGAUCCAAGCAACUGUUUAUCAAAAACACAGGUCUCCGCUAAGUCGUAAGACGAUGUAUGGGGGCUGACGCCUGCCCAGUGCCAGAAGGUUAAAGAAGUCGGUUAGCAUUAGCGAAGCUGGUAACUGAAGCCCUGGUGAACGGCGGCCGUAACAAUAACGGUCCUAAGGUAGCGAAAUUCCUUGUCGGGUAAGUUCCGACCCGCACGAAAGGCGUAAUGAUUUGGAUACUGUCUCGGAGAGGGGCUCGGUGAAAUAGACUUGUCUGUGAAGAUGCGGACUACCUGCCCAGGACAGAAAGACCCUAUGAAGCUUUACUGUAACUUGAAAUUGAAAUUGGACUUUAUUCGCGCAGUAUAGGUGGGAGGUGUUGAUUAUAAUCUUGCGGGAUUAUUGGAGCCAUCAGUGAGAUACCACUCUUGUAAUGUUAGAUUUCUAACUUUGAAUCAUUAUCUGGUCAAAGAACAGUUUCAGGCGGGCAGUUUGACUGGGGCGGUCGCCUCCUAAAUGGUAACGGAGGCGUACAAAGGUUUCCUCUGAACGUGUAGAAAUCGUAUCUAGAGUGUAAAGGCAUAAGGAAGCUUGACUGUGAGACCUACAAGUCGAGCAGGGACGAAAGUCGGUCUUAGUGAUCUGACGGUACUGAGUGGAAAGGCCGUCACUCAACGGAUAAAAGUUACUCUAGGAUAACAGGCUGAUCUCCCCCAAGAGUUCACAUCGACGGGGAGGUUUGGCACCUCGAUGUCGGCUCAUCGCAUCCUGGGGCGGUAGUACGUCCCAAGGGUUGGGCUGUUCGCCCAUGAAAGCGGUACGCGAGCUGGGUUCAGAACGUCGUGAGACAGUUCGGUCCAUAUCCGGUGUAGGCGUUAGAAUAUUGAGAGGAGCCUUCUUUAGUACGAGAGGACCGAGAAGGACAUACCUCUGGUGUACCAGUUAUCGUGCCAACGGUAAACGCUGGGUAGCUAUGUAUGGAGUGGAUAACCGCUGAAAGCAUCUAAGUGGGAAGCCCACCUCAAGAUAAGUAUUCUCA
rnacentral:rRNA from 1 species